CCUGGCGGCGAUAGCGCGGUGGUCCCACCUGACCCCAUGCCGAACUCAGAAGUGAAACGCCGUAGCGCCGAUGGUAGUGUGGGGUCUCCCCAUGUGAGAGUAGGGAACCGCCAGGC
rnacentral:rRNA from 1 species